AGAUAGACGCACGAGUUCUAGCUUCCUCGUUUCCCCUGCUUCACCCCGUGGAUUUUCUCCCUUUAUAUGGUUUCCCUUUCUCAUUUCCGACGUCGUCGCCCUCUCCUUUCCCAUUCAAACUCAUAACAGUGGCUCUCCUCUCCCUUUCUUAAAAGCUCACAGCCAUUGGCGUCAUCUCCCUUUUCAGAUCUGUGGAGUUCGAAUCUGUGCUGUUAGUGAUUGGAACCUUUGAUGGCCGAAUUCAGGUGCUUGUGGGUGUGGGUGCGGGUGCUUAAUCGUGGGCAUUCCCUCUUCCUUCAACGGCCACCAUUGUUAAGGUUCAUUUGGAAUACUUGGAGGCUGGUGCAGACAUAUUAGUGACUUCUUCAUUCUAGGU